UACGUAGGGGGCAAGCGUUGUCCGGAAUCAUUGGGCGUAAAGCGCGUGUAGGCGGCCCGAUAAGUCCGCUGUGAAAGUCCAGGGCUCAACCCUGGAAUGCCGGUGGAUACUGUCGGGCUCGAGUCCGGAAGAGGCGAGUGGGAAAUUCCUGGUGUAGCGGUGAAAUGACGCAGAUAUCAGGAGGAACACCAAUGGCGAAGGCAGCUCGCUGGGACGGUACUGACGCUGAGACGCGAAAGCGUGGGGAGCAAACAGG
rnacentral:rRNA from 1 species